CAGUCGACGGUCUACCUCGACAGAAACCUUCGGGUUGAAGACGAGAUCUAGAUAGUGGCGGACGGGUGAGUAACACGUGAAUAAUCUAUCCUCAAGUCUGGGAUAACCUGGCGAAAGUCGGGCUAAUCCGAGGUAAGCUGAGAGUGUGGCAUCACACAAUCAGAAAAGGUGGUUCUGCCAUCGUUUGAGGAGGAGUUCGCGGUAGAUUAGCUGGCUGGUGAGGUAACGGCUCACCAGGGCAACAAUCUAUAGCUGGUCUGAGAGGACGAUCAGUCACACUGGAACUGAGACACGGUCCAGACUCCUACGGGAGGCAGCAGUGGGGAAUCUUCCACAAUGGGCGCAAGCCUGAUGGAGCAACGCCGCGUGAAUGAAGAAGGCCUUAGGGUCGUAAAGUUCUGUCCUUAGGGAAGGACCGUGGGUAUAGCAAAUGAUACCCACCUGACGGUACCUUUGGAGGAAGCACUGGCUAACUACGUGCCAGCAGCCGCGGUAAUACGUAGAGUGCAAGCGUUGUCCGGAAUUAUUGGGCGUAAAGGGUACGCAGGCGGAUAGUAAAGUCAAGCGUGAAAGGUGUCGGCUUAACCGACAGACUGCGUUUGAAACUGAUUAUCUUGAGUGUAACAGAGGAGAGUGGAAUUCCUAGUGUAGUGGUGAAAUACGUAGAUAUUAGGAAGAACACCAGUGGCGAAGGCG
rnacentral:rRNA from 1 species